CCUACGGGCGGCAGCAGUGAGGAAUAUUGGUCAAUGGGCGUAAGCCUGAACCAGCCAAGUCGCGUGAAGGAUGAAGGAUCUAUGGUUUGUAAACUUCUUUUAUAUGGGAAUAAAGUGAGGAACGUGUUCCGUUUUGUAUGUACCAUAUGAAUAAGCAUCGGCUAAAUCCGUGCCAGCAGCCGCGGUAAUACGGAGGAUGCGAGCGUUAUCCGGAUUUAUUGGGUUUAAAGGGUGCGUAGGUGGUAAAUCAAGUCAGCGGUGAAAGUUUGUGGCUCAACCAUAAAAUUGCCGUGGAAACUGGGUGGCUAGAGUAUAGUUGAGGUAGGCGGAAUUCGUGGUGUAGCGGUGAAAUGCUUAGAUAUCACGAAGAACUCCGAUUGCGAAGGCAGCUUACUAAACUGCCACUGACAUUGAUGCUCGAAAGUGUGGGUAUCAAACAGGAUUAGAUACCCCAGUAGUC
rnacentral:rRNA from 1 species